AUGGCGACAGGAUCUGUUCAUCGUGGACUCGCUGCUGCCGGGGCCAUCAUGUGCGCCAUCCUGGGUGGAUCUCCUAAAAGGAAGGGACCCGAGACCCGAGACCUGGCACCGGUGCCCCAGGAGGAAGGGGCAGCUCUGCGGCUGCUCCAGUCCAGUGUAGAAGACGUGCUGUGGGAAGCGGAGCUCUGGGGCUUGGUGUGUGUUGGAUCUGUAUGGGUUGUUCUGAUUUCUACACUUCCAAAAGACGAUGGUGUUCCGACCGGGGAUGGAAUCCGACCGGGGAUUAUCUGGUUGGACAAGUCACCAACAGUUUAUCCCACAACAAGCUCUUCUCCAGAGGCAACCCAGGUCGCCUGGCAUCCCCUCUUCAGCUCAUUUGAGCCUCAGCUUCAACCUGUGUACGUGUCUGUGCCUAAAGAAACGGCUAGAAAAAGGAAGCGGGAUGAGGAGGAAGAAAGUGCAUCUCAAAUUCAAAGACCACUUUUGCAAGAACCUGCAAAAAAAAAAAUGAAAGUGAAGAAGAAACACUCUGAUACAGACAAAAAGUUGGCAAACAAGGAAAGUGCUCUAGCAGGUGCUGAUUUAGAAGGAGAAAUUCGCCAGAAACAAGGCCAGAAAGGAAAAAAUUCUCAAUCUGAUGUUAAGGUUGCAGAUAGGAAAGUACUUGGUGUAGAUGACACAGUUGUAAGUCAAAGAAAGAAAAUUCAGAUCAGCCAAGAAGAGGAGAGAUUAAAGAAUGAGAGAACUGUGUUUGUUGGCAAUUUGCCCGUCACCUGUAAUAAAAAGAAGCUGAAAUCCUUUUUUAAAGAGUAUGGACAAAUAGAAACUGUACGGUUUCGUUCUCUGAUUCCAGCAGAGGGAAAUUUAUCCAAAAAGUUGGCAGCAAUACAGCACAAAAUUCAUUCUGAUCAGAAAAAUAUUAAUGCCUAUGUUGUGUUUAAGGACAAAAGUGCUGCUACAAAAGCAUUGAAAAGAAAUGGGACUCAAAUUGCAGAUGGAUUUCAUAUUCGAGUUGAUCUUGCAUCUGAGACUUCGUCUAGGGACAAGAGAUUGGUAUUUUGGGGGAAUCUCCCUUACAAAGUUGAAGAUUCUGUUGUUGAGAAACACUUUUUGGAUUGUGGGACUAUCGUGGCAGUGAGGAUUGUGAGAGACCAAGCCACAAGACUCGGCAAAGGGUUUGGCUACGUUCUCUUUGAGAAUACAGACGCUGUUCAUCUUGCUCUGAAAUUAAACAAUUCUAAACUAAUGGGAAGAAAACUCAGAGUCAUGCUUUGUGUUAAUAAAGAAAAAUUAAAACAACAGAAUUCAAAUCCAGGUUUGAAGAAUGUCCGUAAACCUAAGCAAGGACUUAAUUUUGCUUCCAAAAAUGCAGAAGGACAUUCUAAGAGUUUAUUGGAGAAAAAGCUGUUAUCAUGAAAAAGAAGAAGAAAAGACAGAAGAAAGGUGGACAAACUAAGAAACAGAGCAAACUGAAAUAG